GUGAGGAAUUUUCCGCAAUGGGCGAAAGCCUGACGGAGCGACGCCGCGUGGGUGAAGAAGGUUUUCGGAUCGUAAAGCCCUGUCAGGGGGAAAGAACCCCUGCCUUGUAAAUAAUGAGGCAGGCUGACGGUACCCCCAAAGGAAGCUCCGGCCAACUACGUGCCAGCAGCCGCGGUAAUACGUAGGGAGCGAGCGUUAUCCGGAAUUACUGGGCGUAAAGAGCUCGUAGGCGGCCAGAUAAGUCGCAUGUUAAAGACCCGGGCUUAACCCGGGGAGUGCGCGCGAUACUGUCUGACUAGAGGACGGGAGAGGUAAGCGGAAUUCCUGGUGUAGCGGUGAAAUGCAUAGAUAUCAGGAAGAACACCAGUGGCGAAGGCGGCUUACUAGACCGUUCCUGACGCUGAGGAGCGAAAGCCAGGGGAGCAAACGGGAUUAGAUACCCUUGUAGUCC
rnacentral:rRNA from 1 species